CAAAAAGAAAAAAGAAACAGCUCAUAAAAAGAAAAUGCCUAACCAUUAUUUAGAACCUUAAGGGACUGAAUACACCGCUCAUAUCUGCAUUUGCUGCCCACACUCCUAUAUAAAUUUGUCUAAAAUUAGCAAAAGAUAGUUUGAACUGGGAGAAUCUGUAAAUUCUUCACUCUUCACUAUCUCAGAUACUCUCCUUUUUCUUUUCCUUUCUUUAAGGUUAACUGCAUUAGUAAAACAAGGGGAUUAGAGGAUCUUCGAUGCAUUAUAUUUACCAAAAAUGGACUGUGACGAUGUAAUCAGGUAUUUUCUUGCCAUGCGGUGUUACUGUUUUAUGGAAAAUUCCAAAGCGUCUAUUCCUUGGAGGAUGAUGCCAAAUUGCUCUCUAAGUCUUGGACUCAUUUCCAAAAAUGGACCGUGUGAUGAUGUAAUCAGGUUUGUUUUAUGGUUGUUUGUAUCUUGGUAGAUCAGGUUGAAUGUUGGAAUUCAUGUUCAGCCUACGAGAUCAGGUUUAAGAAUGCAUGUGUAUGUCCAAUCUGUAAAAGGGUCAGUGGAGCCUGGCACUAAAUGAGUCAGGUUAGACUUGAUGAAUUUUUAACUGAGCCUGUUGGGGGAGAGAGUAAUGGAUUCUGGGUUAGGUUUUGGUGGGAAUUUUUAACUGAGCUAUCAGCAUUUAUCUUGUGCAGAUACCUUGGCAUAGUUUCUGUAAGGACAGAUGUUUAUUCAUUUGAAAUUGUUCUGUUGCAACUGAUAUCAGGAUGCAAUGUGAUCAAGGAAAAUCAAGAAGAGCAAAGCCAGUCUCUACUUCGAUGGGCAGAAGUGCUGAUCGAAAAGGUUGCAUUACAUGAACUGAUUAAUCCUCAUAUUGGAGAAUCCUACGACACAUACGAACUGUACCAUAUGGCUAGGACAACGUACUUGUGUGUUAGGAGAAGGCUGGAAAUGCGCCCAUCCAUGGGAGGUAACUGAUUGAAACUUGGUACUCUAAUUUUUUAUUUUUUAUUUUUUAUUUUUUUGUGAUUUUUAGUUGCAAAAUGUCAAAUGUUAGUUUCUUGUUUGUAAACAAUGGUUUUCAUCUAAUCUAACAGUGAGGUGUAGCAGAAGACAUUCAUGUAAAGCCGUAUUAAUCUUUUAUAUUAGAGAUUAAUAAGGUUUUACAUGAAUGUAGUACAACAUGCAUAGGAAAUAUUGUGAUUGGGGCAGUAGAUCUUGUGGGUCACCAUAUGGUUUAGCACUAGGCCAAAAACAUGUAAAUUCAUGAGUUUUCCCCGUUGAAUGUGGCCUGUUACUCAUCAUUCUCGUUUAGCAUCCUCCUCUUUAAGGCUGGUGAUAAGAUCCUUCCCAGAUUCCAAUCAAUGUAGUUUUCAGAACAUGGCCCAUCUGAGGCACACAAAAUCAUUGACAGGAUAUGUAAUGAACUUCCAAGAUAAUGGUUUUAACUCUUGGUCCAUGAUCCUUAUGAAGUUGAUCCUUUCAGGUGGGGAGAAGUCAAGCUAUAGGACCAGUUAGGGUUAGAAGGGAUGCUGCAGCUAGUGCUAUGCGGGGUUGGCACUCUCAACGUCUUCUUAGCAAUGGUUAUGCUGGCGACUCACUUAUCAAGGACUGUCUAUACCAUGACGCUGAUAUUGCAAUACUUAAUAUACAGCUGCAAAAGGGCACAAAUACAAGAUAGUCAAACCAUCCUUGAUCUUGGCUAUGGACAAGGACCAUUUACUUCACAUGUUGCUCUGAAGCAUAAAAAUUGUCGUUUUACAGCUGUUACUGACUUGAUCUCUCAGAAGGGCUUCAUAAAGGAGCAAUGCAAUUGAAGGAAUAUGCAUUUAUGUAUGGGCAUUGUUUUAUAGAGAUCCUUUCCGCUAACUGAAGAAGAGUAUCUACCGAGGCUUGAUGAUGUUGCAAACACAUUGAAAUGCUGGGGAGCUGUCUCACAUAUUCGGAAUAGGCUCACCAAAUUGAAGGACCGGCCUCGGAUAGGAAAGAUAUUUUCUUCCAUUUAAAGUAAACUAGUCUGGUCCAUAUGGUGAAGAGUCAAAUUCAUUGAUACUUUGGACGAGGAUGGUGAAUGAUGAUCCAUAUGCACAACAUGUGGCAUACAUGUAUUGAUCCAAACUCAAAUCAUGGGGCCAUCUUUAGAUGGGGCGGGGCCUCAAAUUCAGAUUGUUUGGGAAAUUGUAAGUUUUAACCUCUUACUAAUGGAAAUUUAUUCUUUGAAUUUUCUUCA